rnacentral:rRNA from 1 species
AUUGAACGCUGGCGGCAGGCUUAACACAUGCAAGUCGAGCGGAGAUGAGGUGCUUGCACCUUAUCUUAGCGGCGGACGGGUGAGUAAUGCUUAGGAAUCUGCCAUUUAGUGGGGGACAACAUUCCGAAAGGAAUGCUAAUACCGCAUACGUCCUACGGGAGAAAGCAGGGGAUCUCCGGACCUUGCGCUACAUGAUGAGCCUAAGUCGGAUUAGCUAGUUGGUGGGGUAAAGGCCUACCAAGGCGACGAUCUGUAGCGGGUCUGAGAGGAUGGUCCGCCACACUGGGACUGAGACACGGCCCAGACUCCUACGGGAGGCAGCAGUGGGGAAUAUUGGACAAUGGGCGGAAGCCUGAUCCAGCCAUGCCGCGUGUGUGAAGAAGGCCUUUUGGUUGUAAAGCACUUUAAGCGAGGAGGAGGCUACUAGUACUAAUACUACUGGAUAGUGGACGUUACUCGCAGAAUAAGCACCGGCUAACUCUGUGCCAGCCGCCGCCGUAACAC